rnacentral:rRNA from 1 species
CGCCCAACAGCUAGCUCAAACCCUCAAAACCAACAACUCAUUAUUCCUACACCCUAAUAACCUAAAACCCUAACAAUCAAAUCAUUUUACCACCCAAGUAUGGGCGACAGAAAAGGACUAUUCGAAGCAAUAGCAACAGUACCGCAAGGGAACGCUGAAAGAGAAAUGAAACAAAUCAGUAAAGCAUAAAAAAGCAGAGUUUAACCCUCGUACCUUUUGCAUCAUGAUUUAGCAAGAAAACAUCAAGCAAAGAGAACUUUAGUUUGAUACCCCGAAACCAAGUGAGCUACUCCAAGACAGCCUUUUAGGGCGAACCCGUCUCUGUGGCAAAAGAGUGGGAGGAGCUUUGAGUAGAGGUGACAGACCUACCGAACUUGGUUAUAGCUGGUUGUCCAGGAAUUGAACAGGAGUUCAGCCUUUUGCCCUCUUUCCCCACUUCUGGCUACACCCAAAGCCCACAAGAGGACAAAGGAGUUAAUCAAAGGGGGUACAGCCCCUUUGAAAAAGACACAACUUUCCCAGAAGGGUUAAGAUCAUAACAUAAAUUAAGGAACAGUGUUAUAGUUGGCCUAAAAGCAGCCACCCACACAGAAAGCGUUAAAGCUCAUACACUUCCCUUCCCCUAUUAUCCGGACCACAACAUCUUACCCCCCUACACAUACUGGACCUGCCCCAUACACAUAUGGGAGUGAUUAUGCUAAUAUGAGUAAUAAGAGACCCAGACUCUCUCCCCGCACAAGUGUACAUCGGAACGAACCCCCACCGAAAAUUAACGGCCCCAAAGAAGAGGGAACUGAAAUAUAAUGGCCAAGCCACUAGAAAAAUAUCCAUAACCCCAAACCGUUAAACUCACACUAGAGUGCACACAAGGAAAGACUAAAAGAAAAAGAAGGAACUCGGCA